rnacentral:ncRNA from 33 species
AAGUUGAUUCAUUUUGGGCAAGCGAGGUGAAAUUCCUCCACUGUGCCGCAACCGUAAAGUCGGAAAACCAAAGAUGAAUUAGUCUAUUUGUUUGCUACUCCCGAGCAGGAGUGGACGGAUUUUUUAUUCCAAA